GAAGAAACUGAGGUCAAGAAACAGACCUGGGACUUGAACCAGAUCCUCGGAGCUCCAGGUGGUGCUCCUCUGAGCAGCCAGGGCUCUCUCCCUUCGUUGGGCGACCUACACUAGAAGAACUUUCCAUUGUCACCUUGAGAAUCUGGGUAGCUGCUGAGUAGCCACCAGUCCAAAAAAAAUGAGGCGGUUCAUGGAGUCAACCCAAACCCAACCUGUACCUGGAGCCCAACCCGAAAGAGCCACAGAUGAUCCACAGAACUGUGAGGCAGAAACAUCAGUGUAUAAACAUGUACAUGAGCGAGAGUUACUUGGAUGGUCUGUUGCUGGCAGCCAAAGGCACCCUAACUGAGGCAGAAACAAUUACAUAUGGAGACAGUGAAAGGAAAGCCGAACCCCCGAGUGCCAGUGCAGCAAAACAAGGCUGGAGUUGCCCUUCCCCUGGAGGAGAGGGAUGCUUUUGGGAAGCCAACCAAAGGUAGUGAGAGACUGAGGACCGUCCCGAAGGAGAAGUACAAAUAACACGGUUAGCCUGGGCCGGAUCCGCUGAAACCAGAAGUGGGGGAAAAGGCAGGUGUGGCAUAUGCUGUUUGCUCACCACCACGGAGACAAUUGACCCACCUUGGUUUGGAUUACGAGAUGGCCAAGUGACAGGGCUGGAGCUUAAGCUUUCGAUAUCCUAAAGAGAGGAUUUUAUACGGUUUUAGAACAUGGUCUAAAAGGGGGUACCUCUUUCACUCACUGUAGUAUAUAUUCAUCACUUAUUAUGGAACGAGUGCCGGCCAGGUCUGUCUGGAGACACAGCAGUGAGGGAGGUUUCACGGUCUCUGUUCUCAUGCAUUCUAGUUGGGGGAGGUGGAGGACAAGAUCAGGUGGCAACUAAACGCAGAGACCUGGGUGGUGAGAAAGAGCUGGUUGUGCAAAG